CCCUUUGUCACAGAAUCGGGCCUAACGCCCGUAAACCGUUGACAAUCCUCAACGUGUAACUCAUAUAGCUGAAAAUAUUUAGACAUGCUCACUAGAAAAUAUUCUCAUCUUUUUUACACAGCACAUGAAAUAUGGUUCAACACAAUAAAGAUGUGCAUCUGUGAACUCCAUAGUUGGGGCUAACCUUUGUUAAAAUAGAGAACAUACUUUACCUUUAUGCAGAGGAAUUGCAGCUCAUCACUUCCCCACUCUGUACCAACAUCACUUGCAGCAUUCAGUGUGGCUCACAAAUAUCAGCCUCUGAAAAGUGAAUUUUUCCCUUGCAAAUCUGUAUUGAGGUGUUUAUGAAAAAUAAGGAAUAGCCUUACUUUCCCAGAUCUACGAGCAUGAAUGGACCACUUGCAUAAUUUAACUGAGAUCAGAAUCCCGUCUUUUAUUUUAUACAAACUGGCUGGAGUUCUGGAUGAAUGUUUGAACACUUAAGCCAAUUUUCCUCUAAUUAUGUAGGGUUAAAAAAAAAAGAAAGAAUGAAAUGGAUAGUGCUUUAAUCAUUUGAUUUUUUUUUUACUUUAACUGGAACUUUUUUCCUUGUGAAUGGAGAGAGAACAGGUGCCUAAUGAGAGUGCGUGAUAAUUCUUGCACAGAUAUAAUUAAGCAGGAAGAUCAGUGAAAAUUUCUCCUUGUUGGAUUGCUGCCAUUUUGGGAGUAGGGGUUGAGAAUAUAGAAUAUAGAAUAUAGAAUAUAGAAUAUAGAAUAGAAUAUAGAAAUCCUCUCCCUGAUGAUGUUUUGGGAAAAAGACUUCACUGGAUUUAUCUUUGCAGUGGCUACCUCAUCCUUGAAGAGUACUGGGCAGCAUUUUAGGAGAAAAAGAGAUUAUCGUCUAGAUUCCUUCCUGCUAUACUUACAUUGAAGCAGAGCAGUAAAGAAGCAGGCUGGAAGACCUGGCCACUUUGCAGACAUUGUAGUAGUGAGAUCAGCAACCAGAAAAUGUGUGCGUAGAGAGAGAGAUCAAGGCUCAUCUGGAUGUUAAGGCUGUUGUUGCCAGUGAGUAAGUGUGUGGUACUACUUUUUGGUUGUGACUAGAAGAGUCUCAUGAAUACUUUAAGAACUGGGUUUCAUUCCAAGCACAGAAAAAAGCAGUACCUAGAUUUGGUCCCAUUCUGCUUCUUGUGUUUCUCCUUCCUUCCUUCCUUCCUUC